GCAGGCUUAACACAUGCAAGUCGAGGGGCAGCAUGUCCAGCAAUGGAUGAUGGCGACCGGCGGAAGGGUGCGUAACGCGUGAGCAACAUGCCCUAUACAGGGAGAUACACCAGGGAAACUUGGUCUAAUAUCCCAUAGCAUUCAUUGAAGGCAUCUUUAAUGAAUUAAAGCUUCGGUGGUAUAGGAUUGGCUCGCGUGACAUUAGCCAGAUGGUGAGGUAACGGCUCACCAUAGCAAUGAUGUCUAGGGGUUUUGAGAGGAAGGCCCCCCACACUGGGACUGAGACACGGCCCACACUCCUACGGGAGGCAGCAGUGAGGAAUAUUGGACAAUGGAUGGAAAUCUGAUCCAGCCAUGCCGCGUGCAAGAAGACGGCCUUAUGGGUUGUAAACUGCUUUUAUACGGGAGCAAUAAGGGUUACGAGUAAUCCGAUGAGAGUACUGUAUGAAUAAGGAUCGGCUAACUACGUGCCAGCAGCCGCGGUAAUACGUAGGGGGCGAGCGUUGUCCGGAAUGAUUGGGCGUAAAGGGCGCGUAGGCGGCUUUGCAAGUCAGUAGUGGAAGUCCAUUUUUCAAGGAUGGAAGUGCUACAGAAACUGCGGAGCUUGAGUGCAGGAGAGGUUAUCGGAAUUCCCGGUGUAGCGGUGAAAUGCGUAGAGAUCGGGAGGAACACCAGUGGCGAAGGCGGGUAACUGGACUGCAACUGACGCUGAGGCGCGAAAGUGUGGGGAGCAAACAGAAGGACAUACCCUGGUAGUCCCCCACUGUAAACGAUGAAUGCUAGGUGUGGGAGGUAUCGACCCUUUCUGUUCCGCAGUAAACACAGUAAGCAUUCCGCAUGGGGAGUACGGUCGCAAGAUUAAAACUCAAAGGAAUUGACGGGGGCCCGCACAAGCAGCGGAGCAUGUGGUUUAAUUCGAAGCAACGCGAAGAACCUUACCAGGUCUUGACAUCCAGUUAAACUUGUAGAGAUAUGAGGUCCCUUCGGGGGAACUGAGACAGGUGGUGCAUGGUUGUCGUCAGCUCGUGUCGUGAGAUGUUGGGUUAAGUCCCGCAACGAGCGCAACCCUUGCCAAUAGUUACUAACGAGUGAAGUCGAGGACUCUAUUGGGACCGCCGGGGACAACUCGGAGGAAGGUGGGGACGACGUCAAAUCAUCACGCCCCUUACGACCUGGGCUACACACGUGCUACAAUGGCCGAGACAGAGAGCGGCGAAGGAGCGAUCUGGAGCGAAUCUCAAAAAAGCGGUCACAGUUCGGAUUGUGGGCUGCAACCCGCCCACAUGAAGCAGGAGUUGCUAGUAAUCGCGAAUCAGCAUGUCGCGGUGAAUACGUUCCCGGGCCUUGUACUCACCGCCCGUCAAG
rnacentral:rRNA from 1 species